UGGGGAAUAUUGCACAAUGGAGGAAACUCUGAUGCAGCGACGCCGCGUGAGUGAUGAAGGACUUCGUUUCGUAAAACUCUGUUCUAUGGGAAGAAAAGGACUGUACCAUAGGAGAAAGCUCCGGCUAAAUACGUGCCAGCAGCCGCGGUAAUACGUAUGGAGCGAGCGUUGUCCGGAAUUAUUGGGCGUAAAGGGUGCGCAGGCGGCUUUACAAGUUGGAUGUGAAAUAUUGUGGCUCAACCACAAACGUGCAUCCAAAACUGCAAAGCUUGAGUUAAGGAGAGGUAAGUGGAAUUCCUGGUGUAGCGGUGGAAUGCGUAGAUAUCAGGAGGAAUACCGGUGGCGAAGGCGACUUACUGGACUUAAACUGACGCUCAGGCACGAAAGCGUGGGGAGCAAACAGG
rnacentral:rRNA from 1 species